ACCCCGGCUAAAGCCCCGACGGGAGGGGAUGGCUCCGCGGCCCAUCAGGUAGACGGCGGGGUGACGGCCCACCGUGCCGACAACGGGUAGCCGGGUUGAGAGACCGACCGGCCAGAUUGGGACUGAGACACGGCCCAGACUCCUACGGGAGGCAGCAGUGGGGAAUCUUGCGCAAUGGGGGGAACCCUGACGCAGCGACGCCGCGUGCGGGACGGAGACCUUCGGGUCGUAAACCGCUUUCAGCAGGGAAGAGUCAAGACUGUACCUGCAGAAGAAGCCCCGGCUAACUACGUGCCAGCAGCCGCGGUAAUACGUAGGGGGCGAGCGUUAUCCGGAUUCAUUGGGCGUAAAGCGCGCGUAGGCGGCCCGGCAGGCCGGGGGUCGAAGCGGGGGGCUCAACCCCCCGAAGCCCCCGGAACCUCCGCGGCUUGGGUCCGGUAGGGGAGGGUGGAACACCCGGUGUAGCGGUGGAAUGCGCAGAUAUCGGGUGGAACACCGGUGGCGAAGGCGGCCCUCUGGGCCGAGACCGACGCUGAGGCGCGAAAGCUGGGGGAGCGAACAGGAUUAGAUACCCUGGUAGUCCCAGCCGUAAACGAUGGACGCUAGGUGUGGGGGGACGAUCCCCCCGUGCAGCAGCCAAACGCAUUAUGCGUCCCACCUGGGGAAGUACGGCAGCAAGGCUAAAACUCAUAGGAAUUGACGGGGGUCCGCACAAGCAGCGGAGCAUGUGGCUUAAUUAGAAGCAACGCGAAGAACCUUUCCAGGGCAUGACAUAUGGGUGAAGCGGGGGAGACCCCGUGGCCGAGAGGAGCCCAUACAGGUGGUGCAUGGCUGUCGUCAGCUCGUGUCGUGAGAUGUUGGGUUAAGUCCCGCAACGAGCGCAACCCCCGCCGCGUGUUGCCAUCGGGUGAUGCCGGGAACCCACGCGGGACCGCCGCCGUCAAGGCGGAGGAGGGCGGGGACGACGUCAAGUCAUCAUGCCCCUUAUGCCCUGGGCUGCACACGUGCUACAAUGGCCGGUACAGAGGGAUGCCACCCCGCGAGGGGGAGCGGAUCCCGGAAAGCCGGCCCCAGUUCGGAUUGGGGGCUGCAACCCGCCCCCAUGAAGUCGGAGUUGCUAGUAAUCGCGGAUCAGCAUGCCGCGGUGAAUGCGUUCCCGGGCCUUGUACACACCGCCCGUCA
rnacentral:rRNA from 1 species